UAUUAAAAUUUUUAUCAAUUUGUACCAUUAAAAAUUGGCUUGGUUGAUGGAAUAAUUAGACAAUAACACGUGGCAUGUCACGUUUACCAUAUUGAUAUACAUGGACCUAUUUUUAGUAGUAGAAAUUGAUGAAAAUUUUAAUA
rfam:Gossypium raimondii Chr12_contig_833, whole genome shotgun sequence.